GACCACCGCCAGUCCGCUACCCACCCCACCGAAAGCUACAAACCGUUUCAUGGUAGCCCACGAGGCCACGACCCGGUGUCCCCACUCCCCAGUUCCUCAGCAGCUCGUGAGUGUUGAGCGGCAGUUUUGACGGUGAAUGGCGGGCGACACCUGGCUUGGUGGUCGGCGGCAUGAUGCUCAGCGGGUUAGAUCGGCGAGAAUGGAUUCAGACGCGUAGCAUUUUGAGCAGGCGUGUGGCCUCGAUGUCGGGGCAGCGCAACAGGUGGUGGUCGCGGCGGCGCUGCAAGUGGUGGUCGCGACCGCACUGCUAGUGGUGGCCACGGCGGCGUUGGUUCGACCACGGUCGCCACGGACUGCAGAAGGACGAGCAUCCUGCGCCGCCACCGGUAUUUAAGUUCGUGCUCCUCCCUUGCACAUGACACAGCGAGCACGCUGCCCUUCUUGUCCUUGCAUGCGGCUGCUAGCUCUUCCUCUUACACCAUGUCACCUUUUUCUGCUAGCCCCUUUCCUCCUGCUAUAUAGCAUCUUUAUUGAUCUGAUGAUUGCCUCCAAAAAUUUCACUGCUUAGGUGUCCUCCGUAAUUCCCUUUGGAUCUCAUUCUGUGCUGCCUCAUUUCUUGCCCACGAGGUGUUUGUUUUAAUGCCUGAAUGGGAACUGCUACUGACAAUGUGCUCAAAGAAGACUCUUAACAGUGAUAUAUUGAUAGGAACACUCCAUUUUUUCCAUUGGUGGGUGGUCAUCGAUUCGCAGUAGGCCAACUAGUCGUGCAACAUCGCUAGUGGUCCUCAGUGUCAGGUUUCGUUGACCGUUGGCUUGCUUAUUCAUGUGCUUUGCAUCUCCUCCCUGCAAGAUGACAAAGGCUAAUCAGUACAGUGAUAAAGUUCUCUCCUAUAUCUUGUUCCAUGAUUUGAAUUAAUGCAAGCCUUUACCUGAUUCAUUGGAGAAAUUCAGGCCAUUAAAAUUACAUAGCUGCUCAUAUGUUAAAAACCCAAAAUGCUCUCUCUUGUGCCUGGUCGUUGUAAUGUACUCCCUCCGUAAACAAAUAUAAGAGCGUUUAGAUCACUACUUUAGUAAUCUAAAUGCUCUUAUAUUAGUUUACAGAGGGAGUACUUGUGUAUGUCUGCUUGGACGCUUAUUUUUACUAUCAAAUGGAUGUAUAUUAGCAAUGAGAACGGCGUCAGUCUUAUGUGUUAUACCUUUACAACAGCACAUCAUGCAUUCCCCCAUUUUGUGAUAUGAAGUUCAGACCAAAAACUUGUCAGGAUUGACUUUAAUCUCAUCCAAAAAUUCGUUCCACAUAGCCAUAAAUGUUCCUGUUAGUUAUCAGUGAAAAUUUUGGAUUAUUCCUAUACGGCUUUACAGAUAAUAGCUUUUUCACCUUUAUGUUCAUGUUUUGAGUUCAAAAUUAUAAUUAACUACAAAUACCCGUGAAAAUUCCAGUAAUUCACAAACGUGUCUAGUA